rnacentral:rRNA from 1 species
UCUCCGUUGGUGAACCAGCGGAGGGAUCAUUACCGAGUUUACAACUCCCAAACCCCUGUGAACAUACCAAUUGUUGCCUCGGCGGAUCAGCCCGCUCCCGGUAAAACGGGACGGCCCGCCAGAGGACCCCUAAACUCUGUUUCUAUAUGUAACUUCUGAGUAAAACCAUAAAUAAAUCAAAACUUUCAACAACGGAUCUCUUGGUUCUGGCAUCGAUGAAGAACGCAGCAAAAUGCGAUAAGUAAUGUGAAUUGCAGAAUUCAGUGAAUCAUCGAAUCUUUGAACGCACAUUGCGCCCGCCAGUAUUCUGGCGGGCAUGCCUGUUCGAGCGUCAUUUCAACCCUCAAGCCCAGCUUGGUGUUGGGACUCGCGAGUCAAAUCGCGUUCCCCAAAUUGAUUGGCGGUCACGUCGAGCUUCCAUAGCGUAGUAGUAAAACCCUCGUUGCUGGUAAUCGUCGCGGCCACGCCGUUAAACCCCAACUUCUGAAUGUUGACCUCGGAUCAGGUAGGAAUACCCGCUGAACUUAAGCAUAUCA